GGGCCCUUAGCUCAGCUGGUUAGAGCAGCGGACUCAUAAUCCGUUGGUCCUAGGUUCAAGUCCUAGAGGGCCCA
rnacentral:tRNA from 1 species